UCUUCAAGUAAGUUAGUAUUUAGUAUUUAAACACCUGAUUAUACUUAAGAAUCAAGUUAAACUAAGUAUUUUAAAAAAAAAAAAUUGAUGUACAGAUCAGAGAGUUUGUGAGAUAUUGAGGGAUCAAGUAUUAAGAAAACUCAAAAAAGAGUUAAGUUUAGAACUUAAACAGUUUUCUUUGAGUAUUUCUAAAUUUUUCUACCAGC
rnacentral:lncRNA from 1 species